rnacentral:rRNA from 1 species
CCUACGGGAGGCAGCAGUGGGGAAUCUUGCGCAAUGGGCGAAAGCCUGACGCAGCCACGCCGCGUGCGGGAUGAAGGCCCUAGGGUUGUAAACCGCUUUUAACAGGAACGAAAAUGACGGUACCUGUAGAAUAAGGUGCGGCCAACUACGUGCCAGCAGCCGCGGUGACACGUAGGCACCAAGCGUUGUCCGGAUUUAUUGGGCGUAAAGAGCUCGUAGGCGGUUCAGUAAGUCGGGUGUGAAAACUCUGGGCUUAACCCAGAGACGCCACUCGAUACUAUUGUGACUAGAGUUCGGUAGGGGAGCGGGGAAUUCCUAGUGUAGCGGUGAAAUGCGCAGAUAUUAGGAGGAACACCGGUGGCGAAGGCGCCGCUCUGGGCCGAUACUGACGCUGAGGAGCGAAAGCGUGGGUAGCAAACAGGAUUAGAUACCCUGGUAGUCCACGCCGUAAACGGUGGGCACUAGGUGUGGGUUCCAACCAACGGAAUCCGCGCCGUCGCUAACGCAUUAAGUGCCCCGCCUGGGGAGUACGGCCGCAAGGUUAAAACUCAAAGGAAUUGACGG